ensembl:snRNA U6 U6 spliceosomal RNA
GUACUUGUUUUGGCACCACAUUUACUAAAAUUUGAACAAUACAUAGAAGAUUAACAUGGCCCCUGCCAAAUUUGUGAAAUGUUUCAUAUGUUU